rnacentral:misc_RNA from 1 species
GAUGAAGAACGUAGCGAAAUGCGAUAAGUAAUGUGAAUUGCAGAAUUCAGUGAAUCAUCGAAUCUUUGAACGCACAUUGCGCCCCUUGGUAUUCCGAGGGGCAUGCCUGUUCGAGCGUCAUUAUAACCCCUCAAGCUCAGCUUGGUGUUGGGGCCUGCUGCACUGGCAGCCCUUAAAAUCAGUGGCGGCGCCAUCUGGCUCUAAGCGUAGUAAUUCUUCUCGCUAUGGAGUCCUGGUGGAUGCUUGCCAUCAACCCCCAAUUUUUCUAUGGUUGACCUCGGAUCAGGUAGGGAUACCCGCUGAACUUAAGCAUAUCAAAGCGGAGGA